GAUGAACGCUAGCUACAGGCUUAACACAUGCAAGUCGAGGGGAAACGACAUCGAAAGCUUGCUUUUGAUGGGCGUCGACCGGCGCACGGGUGAGUAACGCGUAUCCAACCUGCCCACCACUUGGGGAUAACCUUUCGAAAGUAAGACUAAUACCCAAUGACGUCUCUAGAAGACAUCUGAAAGAGAUUAAAGAUUUAUCGGUGAUGGAUGGGGAUGCGUCUGAUUAGCUUGUUGGCGGGGUAACGGCCCACCAAGGCGACGAUCAGUAGGGGUUCUGAGAGGAAGGUCCCCCACAUUGGAACUGAGACACGGUCCAAACUCCUACGGGAGGCAGCAGUGAGGAAUAUUGGUCAAUGGACGAGAGUCUGAACCAGCCAAGUAGCGUGCAGGAUGACGGCCCUAUGGGUUGUAAACUGCUUUUAUAAGGGAAUAAAGUGAGUCUCGGGAGACUUUUUGCAUGUACCUUAUGAAUAAGGACCGGCUAAUUCCGUG
rnacentral:rRNA from 1 species